UACGUAGGGGGCUAGCGUUGUCCGGAUUUAUUGGGCGUAAAGAGCGUGUAGGCGGCCAUGUAGGUCCGGUGUGAAAACUCGAGGCUUAACCUCGAGAUGUCAUCGGAAACCAUUUGGCUAGAGUCCGGAAGAGGAGAGUGGAAUUCCUGGUGUAGCGGCGAAAUGCGCAGAUAUCAGGAAGAACACCAAUGGCGAAAGCAGCUCUCUGGGACGGUACUGACGCUGAGACGCGAAAGCGUGGGGAGCGAGCCGG
rnacentral:rRNA from 1 species